UACGUAGGGGGCAAGCGUUGUCCGGAAUUAUUGGGCGUAAAGAGCGUGUAGGCGGUCCGGUAAGUCAGCUGUGAAAGUCAAGGGCUCAACCCUUGAAUGCCGGUUGAUACUGUCGGGCUAGAGUCCGGAAGAGGCGAGUGGAAUUCCCGGUGUAGCGGUGAAAUGCGCAGAUAUCAGGAGGAACACCAAUGGCGAAGGCAGCACUCUGGGACGGUACUGACGCUGAGACGCGAAAGCGUGGGGAGCAAACAGG
rnacentral:rRNA from 1 species